GCGAGUGUAGAGGUGAAAUUCGUAGAUAUUCGCAAGAACACCAGUGGCGAAGGCGGCUCACUGGCCCAUUACUGACGUGAGCCCACGAAAGCGUGGGAGCAACCAGGAUUAGAUACCCUGGUAGUCCACGCCGUAACCGAUGAAUGCCAGCCGUUAGUGCACUAGUGGCGCAGCUAACGCUUUAAGCAUUCCGCCUGGGGAGUACGGUCGCAAGAUUAAAACUCAAAGGAAUUGACGGGGGCCCGCACAAGCGGUGGAGCAUGUGGUUUAAUUCGACGCAACGCGCAGAACCUUACCAGCCCUUGACAUGUCCAGCCGGUCGCAGAGACGUGACCCUGGAGCACAGGUGCUGCAUGGCUGUCGUCAGCUCGUGUCGUGAGAUAUUGGGUUAAGUCCCGCAACGAGCGCAACCCCCGUCCUUAGUUGCUACCAUGAGCACUCUAAGGAGACUGCCGGUGAUAAGCCGGAGGAAGGUGGGGAUGACGUCAAGUCCUCAUGGCCCUUACGGGCUGGGCUACACACGUGCUACAAUGGCGGUGACAAUGGGAAGCUAAGGGGUGACCCUUCGCAAAUCUCAAAAAGCCGUCUCAGUUCGGAUUGGGCUCUGCAACUCGAGCCCAUGAAGUUGGAAUCGCUAGUAAUCGUGGAUCAGCAUGCCACGGUGAAUACGUUCCCGGGCCUUGUACACACCGCCCGUCACACCAUGGGAGUUGGCUUUACCUGAAGACGGUGCCGGCCACGGUAGGGUCAGCGACUGGGGUGAAGUCGUAACAAGGUAACCGUAAACGAAUCUGCAGAUAUC
rnacentral:rRNA from 1 species